rnacentral:rRNA from 1 species
UACGUAGGGGGCAAGCGUUGUCCGGAUUUAUUGGGCGUAAAGAGCGUGUAGGCGGCUAGGUAGGUCUGCUGUGAAAACUCGAGGCUCAACCUCGAGAUGUCGGCGGAAACCAUCUGGCUAGAGUCCGGAAGAGGAGAGUGGAAUUCCUGGUGUAGCGGUGAAAUGCGCAGAUAUCAGGAAGAACACCCAUGGCGAAGGCAGCUCUCUGGGACGGUACUGACGCUGAGACGCGAAAGCGCGGGGAGCGAACAGG